AAGAAUUUGAAACCCAAUCAAAUCCCUAAUGAUAAAAAAACAAUAAUUUGUUAUCUACAGUAUCAAAAUCAUUGAUUCAUCAAGAAUCUUGGUUACUAGUCAACAAGAAUCGAUAAAUUCUGAACCAAAGAAAAUUCUGGAUUCCUCUGCUUUUGGCUGCUGCGGUGGAAGAGAGAGAAAAGUAGAAUAAAACGUGGGAAAAAGAGAGGUGAAAU
rnacentral:misc_RNA from 1 species